UUUUAAUAGCUUAUAUUUAGAGCAUAAUAUUGAAGAUAUUAAGGAAGAAUUGUUCUUUAAAAUAUU
rnacentral:tRNA from 1 species